CGGUGAAUACGUUCCCGGACCUUGUACACACCGCCCGUCAAGCCCAUGGAAGCCGGGUGUACCCAAAGACGAUAACCGCAAGGAGUCGUCCAAGGUAAAACUGGUGACUGGGGCU
rnacentral:rRNA from 1 species